rnacentral:rRNA from 1 species
GAGUUUGAUCGUGGCUCAGGACGAACGCUGGCGGUAUGCCUAAUACAUGCAAGUCGAGCGCAGGAAGCAGACUGAAGCCUUCGGGUGGAUGUCUGUGGAAUGAGCGGCGGAUGGGUGAGUAUCACGUGGGUAACCUGCCUGUAAGCUUGGGGAUAACUCCGGGAAACCGGUGCUAAUACCAGAUAAGAUUUCCGUUCGCAUGAACGGAAAAUGAAAGGCGGCUUUUGCUGUCACUUACAGAUGGACCCGCGUCGCAUUAGCUAGUUGGUGGGGUAAAGGCUCACCAAAGCAACGAUGCGUAGCCGACCUGAGAGGGUGAUCGGCCACACUGGGACUGAGACACGGCCCAGACUCCUACGGGAGGCAGCAGUAGGGAAUCUUCCGCAAUGGACGAAAGUCUGACGGAGCAAUACCGCGUGAGUGAUGAAGGUCUUCGGAUCGUAAAACUCUGUUGUUAAGGAAGAACAAGUGCUAAUCUAAUACAUUAGUGCCCUGACGGUACCUAACCAGAAAG